CCUACGGGAGGCAGCAGUCGGGAAUCUUGCACAAUGGGCGAAAGCCUGAUGCAGCAACACCGUGUGAGCGAUGAAGGCCCUAGGGUCGUAAAGCUCUGUUGUUAGGGACGAAGGGCGAAGGGUUAAUAGCCCCUAGCCUGACGGUACCUUUCGAGGAAGCCCCGGCUAACUACGUGCCAGCAGCCGCGGUAAUACGUAGGGGGCGAGCGUUGUCCGGAAUUAUUGGGCGUAAAGAGCGUGUAGGCGGCUUGGUAAGUCUGCUGUGAAACCUUGGGGCUCAACCCCAAGCGUGCAGUGGAUACUGUCAAGCUAGAGGAUGGUAGAGGCCAGUGGAAUUCCCGGUGUAGCGGUGAAAUGCGCAGAUAUCGGGAGGAACACCAGUAGCGAAGGCGGCUGGCUGGGCCAUUCCUGACGCUGAGACGCGAAAGCUAGGGGAGCGAACAGGAUUAGAUACCCUGGUAGUCCUAGCCGUAAACGAUGAACACUAGGUGUGGGGGGAGUCGAAUCCCUCCGUGCCGAAGCCAACGCGUUAAGUGUUCCGCCUGGGGAGUACGGCCGCAAGGCUAAAACUCAAAUGAAUUGACGGGG
rnacentral:rRNA from 2 species